UACGAGGGGAGCAAGCGUUGUUCGGAUUUACUGGGCGUAAAGGGCGCGUAGGCGGCCACCGCAAGUCGACUGUGAAAUCUCCGGGCUUAACCCGGAAAGGUCAGCCGAUACUGCGGGGCUAGAGUGCAGAAGGGGCAACUGGAAUUCUCGGUGUAGCGGUGAAAUGCGUAGAUAUCGAGAGGAACACCUGCGGCGAAGGCGGGUGCUGGGCUGACACUGACGCUGAUGCGCGAAAGCUAGGGGAGCGAACGGG
rnacentral:rRNA from 1 species